rnacentral:tRNA from 2 species
GGUAGGGUGUCCGAGCGGUUUAAGGAGCUGGUCUUGAAAACCAGUGUGCCGAAAGGCACCGUGGGUUCGAAUCCCACCCCUACCG